rnacentral:rRNA from 1 species
UGGGGAAUUUUGGACAAUGGGCGAAAGCCUGAUCCAGCAAUGCCGCGUGUGUGAAGAAGGCCUUCGGGUUGUAAAGCACUUUUGUCCGGAAAGAAAUCCUUGGCUCUAAUACAGUCGGGGGAUGACGGUACCGGAAGAAUAAGCACCGGCUAACUACGUGCCAGCAGCCGCGGUAAUACGUAGGGUGCAAGCGUUAAUCGGAAUUACUGGGCGUAAAGCGUGCGCAGGCGGUUUGCUAAGACCGAUGUGAAAUCCCCGGGCUCAACCUGGGAACUGCAUUGGUGACUGGCAGGCUAGAGUAUGGCAGAGGGGGGUAGAAUUCCACGUGUAGCAGUGAAAUGCGUAGAGAUGUGGAGGAAUACCGAUGGCGAAAGGCAGCCCCCUGGGCCAAAUACUGACGCUCAUGCACGAAAAGCGUGGGGAGCAAAACAGGAUUAGAUACCCUGGUAGUCCACGCCCUAAAACGAUGUCAACUAGUUGUUGGGGAUUCAUUUCCUUAGUAACGUAGCUAAACGCGUGAAAGUUGACCGCCUGGGGAGUAACGGUCGCAAAGAUUAAAAACUUAAAAGGAAUUGACGGGGUCAUAGCUGUUUCCU